AGUAGACCAAAUCCUGAUACUUCUUCAUCUUUGCUUCUGGAAUACUCUAUAGUCAUGUCAUCCAACAAAUAUAAUGUGAGCCACAUAUGACAUCUCAAUCUGAACCAGCCACCUUUCAAUGCUUAAUAACUCCAUGUGGCUAGUGCCUGCCAUGCUGGACAAUGAGCUAUUUUAGCUGCAGCGCGCACUCUGAGUAGUGAGAGGGGCCCCGCCCAGCUCCUCCCCAGGAACUACACUCAGCAUCUCAGCAUCAAGCCACCAUAGCUCUGAAC